CUUUUCGCUCAUCUCUCUCUCUAAUCUCUUUCAUCACUUUUCCCUUCCUCGCUGAAAAAACCCUAACUUAUAACGCGUCCACCUUCAUUUUUUUCCGGUCGAAACAGGAAAUUAAAGAGACGGAUAGUUAUUUCAUAUCACCUCAGUAUCUCUUUUUGUUUCUCUUGAUGUUUCUUUUCACUUUCACAAAGUAAUCUCAGAUUUUUUUUUUUUUUAUACAAUAUACAAUCUCAGAUCUAUAAAUUGGGGUUAGCGUUUUUUGUUUUUGAGUUUAGGGUUACAGACAAGAGUAAAGAUUUUUCUCGUAGCCUCGAUUCCCCAUCUUCCAGACUUCCACCACCGAAGAUUUACUCUUUCCUUUGAUUUUUCUUCAAAUUCAUCACCAUUAUAAUCGGGAUGAGGAAUUAGUUCGUGGAGGUGAUGCUGAUAGAGGAAACAGGAAUCGAGAAGAAGUAGAGACGGGGAGUUUAAUUUGAAAAGUUAGGGUUUUGAAUUUUAUUGAAGUUUCAAUUUAGUGAUAAACAAGAAGAAAUUAAAGAUUGGGUUUGGUGAUUUGAGGAUUAUAAAUCGAUGUUUGAACUAAAAUUAGAGGAAGGAAAUUGGGAAUUAUUUUAGGGUUCCGAGAAUAGAUGAUGGUGAUUGAAAAUAAAAUUGAUAGUUAGGAUUUUUAUUGGAAGUAUUGAGAAGACUUCCAGUGAUUGUUCGAAGUAUUGAGAAGACUCUGAUUAAGAGAGGAAGUGGCAGAGGAAAUCCUAAGGUGAUUCUUGCUUCAUGGGAAGCCGAAGAAGACAUGGGAGAGCACAUAAAAUCCUAAUUCAGGGGAAGCUGAAGACAGAGGAAGCUGACAGAGGAAGGAUUACCCCUAUUCAGGGGCUUUCCUUAAAAAUGGUAAGAAUUUUUUUGAGUUUCCCCGGGAAGUAAGUUCAGCAAUUGCAUAGCGUUAUUGCACGAUAGUAAAACAAGUGGGGAUGAUCUAUCUAAUCGUCGAGGAGCACGAUUUGGCAAAAGUUGAAAAACUGUUCCAGCAUCAACAAUUAUGAAGUUUACAGGAUGUGGGAUUGCUGAAUGCACAUUUGAGGACAAUAUUCAUAUAGGCGACACUUUCCUCUUUCCUGUUUUGGUCACACUCGUGCUUCCUUCACUCAUCGAACAGUUAAAGUUGUGUUUCAAAGAUGUAGAUGCCGAACUUGAUCACAAAGGUGAUGAUGCUUAUAACGGCGCCGCUGUCUACGAAGACUUCACCGACGAGGCUGCUACGAUCAUCGAACAUUGGACCAUUAAUGCCGUCCCCUUCGGCGCCAGCAUGGCCAUUGACUAUGUCGAGAAGAAGCUUGCUGUUUCAUACAAGGAGGUUGCUCUGAGGCGGCGGAUGCCUUUUCUGCGAUGUGGUGUGCUUAUCCAUGAGGGGAGAUGUGCAUUUCUUUCUUUUCCAGACACGCUAGAGAUUGUAUGAACUCUUGUGGUCCAGCUCUUUUGUUGGCUCACUUCUUUGCUCACUAGCCAAAGAUCCGUCACUUUACGAGAACGAAGGGAAAUUGAAAGAGACGCUCACAGACAUUGCUGCUGCUCAAACAUUGCUGGAGCAAUCCCAGCACUCCCAGACAUUGCUGCUGCUCAAAAACUUAUCUCAGGCUCCAAAUGAGAAGGCUACAGGUCCGAAUGAGAAGAAAAGAUCAAAUAAGUGUCCAGUUUAUAUAGUUUUCUUAAUUUCAAUACAUGUCUGAACCGGUGGAGUACCGUUGUUUCAUUGGAGGGACAGAAUUCUUAAAAGUGCUUUCGAAAAGUAUGGUAAUCUUGUGGAAGCCAAGGAUACUUUGGACGAACAUGUGACUUGGUCUACUCUAGUCUACAGUUUUCCUAUUGGUCUAGGGCACUGGAGCUUUGAGGUUGCGUCUAGGCAGACAGUAUCACUGCCUCACCAGAUCUCUAUAGCGUAAAUCUCGGCUCAGAUGUAGAAUUUUUGUUGUGGCGGCUUAUGGGAUUGAAGAGGUCCGACCCAAUAAAUUGUCCGGAAUCAACUACGCCUACGUGGAAACAUUUAGUUAGCAUGCAAAGGACUUGCACAUGCAGCUCUGUGAAUGGGACCAACCUUCACUGGAAUUGAGAUUUGCUGUACUGUUCAUGUCAAGGUUAUAAUUGCAUCUGAUGUCUAUGUGGAAUCUCUAAUCAUAGUGCAUCUAGUACCCUCGCACUACAAACAUCAUAGUCGGUUAUCCAGGUCUUCAAGUGGCCACCAAUUUUCUAAUGGUUUGCUGAAGACGGUUUACAAUUUUCUAAAGACAUAAAUCAAUAUUACAAUUUGUAAUGGUUUGCUUGUCCUUAAACUGAGUCUUUUGUGAUCUUGGAUUUGUGCCCACAUAAAUGUUCAUGUAAUUUUUGCGGAGUAAUGGAUGUAUAAAGGACUGAGUGCAAUUGAUAGCACAAUAGGUAGCACAUAGAUAGCAUAACGCACUAACAUAGAUAGCACUUUGUAGGGUCAAGUUAAAUCAAAUGUGUCAAUCACAGCUUUUCAUGGAUGGUUAUUUUCAAUAUAAAAGGUAAACAUAACUCUUGCUGGGA